GCCCUGCAUCCAGAGUCGGACGAGUCCGACGCCAACCUGCCUUCCCGGGCAAGGUGGAAGCCUUAAGGGCGAUGCGGCCGAUUGACGGCAACGAAGCGGGAGCGG
rnacentral:ncRNA from 2 species